rnacentral:tRNA from 1 species
ACCUGGCUGGCUCAGUUGGUGGAGCAUGGGACUCAUGAUCUUGGUAUUGUGAGUUCAAGCCUCAUGUUCGGUG